rnacentral:tRNA from 1 species
UGGGGGAUCGUUCAAUGGUAGGACAUCGGUUUUUGGUGCCGAGUAUUGGGGUUCGACUCCCUAUCCCCCAG